rnacentral:tRNA from 1 species
AGGGCUUUAGCUUAAUUAAAGCAUCUGAGUUGCAUUCAGAAUAUGUGGGGUUGUUCCGCAAGUCCUA